rnacentral:rRNA from 1 species
CCUACGGGAGGCAGCAGUCGAGAAUCAUUCACAAUGGGGGAAACCCUGAUGGUGCGACGCCGCGUGGGGGAAUGAAGGUCUUCGGAUUGUAAACCCCUGUCAUGUGGGAGCAAAUAAAAAAGAUAGUACCACAAGAGGAAGAGACGGCUAACUCUGUGCCAGCAGCCGCGGGAAUACAGAGGUCUCAAGCGUUGUUCGGAAUCACUGGGCGUAAAGCGUGCGUAGGCUGUUUCGUAAGUCGUGUGUGAAAGGCGCGGGCUCAACCCGCGGACGGCACAUGAUACUGCGAGACUAGAGUAAUGGAGGGGGAACCGGAAUUCUCGGUGUAGCAGUGAAAUGCGUAGAUAUCGAGAGGAACACUCGUGGCGAAGGCGGGUUCCUGGACAUUAACUGACGCUGAGGCACGAAGGCCAGGGGAGCGAAAGGGAUUAGAUACCCUUGUAGUC